rnacentral:sRNA from 2 species
CCUCCCUUGUAUAAAUCCUUGACCUUUUAGUAUAUUAGGCCACUAGGGCAAAAGAGCUCAAUCACCACCAGCGCCGUGGUGGUAUAGAGGAGGGCCUCCACUAUCCUUCAUUCAAUUCAACGUUUUUUUUCCCUUCUUCUCUUUCGUCCUUCCUAUUUAUUAUCUACUAAGCUAUUUUCGAAUACCUACUAGGAAGAAUUCUGCGGCAAGUUUCCACCAACUCUACAAACCUAUGUUCUUAUCUUGGCUGGGUCGACUUUGAUGCUCCCCCUUUGUUCCAGAUGGAGUUAAUGCGAGAAGCUAUCUAUCUAGAUAACAAGCGAUACUUACAGGUUGCCCAGUCCCCUAUGGACCAUCUGAGCCUUGAAUCUAACAUCUAUGAUGAGCUGAGGCAUUGGCGUAUUGCUCCGAGAAAUAUACUAAGAGUCAACAGUUCAACAAAAAAGAAUGCAGGUGUAUGGACAAACGGCUUCCGACCCAGGUAUUUAAAUAUAUAUAGCCGCCCUUCUCUCAAAAAAGAUAGUAGAGAGAAUUUGGAAAAAAAAUAAAGAUACAGCAAAAAUGAGGAAACAUGAUAUAAAACGGAAGGUCAACCAACCAAAGCCCUCAGCUUCGUCAACAUCUUCGAACCCUUCCCAGCCAACAUGCCCCAAAUCCCCAAUAACCCGAUCAUCGUCACCAACCAAGCCCGAUUCGUAAACAGAGACUCCUCCCUCACGCGUCCUAAAUGCUUUUGCUUCUGCUUCACCGCCAGCUGCUGCGCACCAUACCCAUCCAGUAUGAAGUCCGCCCAGCGAACCCUAGACAGUAGCUUCUGAUACUGCACCACAGUCCCGGACCAAUUAUUCGUAACCCGGCCGUCCGCGCGCUUAUACCAGCUGUGGCAAUUCGGGUGCGCAAACGAUGUUGUCCCAAGGACACUCUGCAGCUCGUCGUUAAACGAAUCCAUACGCUUGGGAUCCGGUAAGAUCUUCAGCGACUCGCCCACCUGGCGUGCCUGGAGCACUGCGCUGAUCAUCGCCUGGAUAUACUUCGCCUGCGCCUCGAUCAUGAGGAUGAUAGAGUUGUGGCCCAGGUUCGUGUUGGGGCCGUAGAGCAUGCCGAAGUUGGGGAGGGAUUCGGCGGCGAUGCCGUACAGCGCGCGUGCGCCGCCGGACCAGAUAUCCGAGAGUGCUCGGCCGUUGAUGCCGUAGACUUGGAUCGGGUGCAUGAAUUCGACGGUGCGGAAACCCGUGGCCAGCACGAUGACGUCGAAUUCGUGCGCGGCGCCGUCGACGUUUAUGCCGUUUUCGGUUAUUUCGGUGAUGGGCCUUGUUUCAAGGGUGACGUUGUCGCGCAAGAAAGUUGGAAAGUAAUCGUCGCUAAUGAUGACGCGCUUGCAGCCCAUGGGAUAAUUGGGGACUAGUUUCUCCCACAGCUCCGGACGGUUGGGGAGCUGUUUCUUCAUCAAUGAGAGGCUGAUUGUGCGGGCGCGUACCGCGUAUUCAGAGUUCUGGUCUGCAAUGGCGUCGUGGGAAGACUCUCGCAUGUCCAUCAUCCAACUACGUAGUCUCCAAAGAGAAGGCGGGAAGUAUUGGAAUAAUGCCCUAACAAGUUUAGGGAUGCCAGUGUCUAAUCUGGGUAUCACCCAGUUAGGUGUUCUUUGAAACACAGUCAGUUGAGCGACAUCGGGAGCAAUUACGGGGAUUAUCUGAGCAGCCGUAGCUCCUACAGAAAUGGUCAUCAGCAACAUGGACGCAGAAGACGAGAAACAGGAAGGAAAGAUAUGGGAGAUUUUACCGUUCCCUAUAAUGCCAACACGCUUUCCCUUGAUAUCGUAGGUCCAAUCCCACCGAGCAGAAUGAAUGAUCCUGCCCUGGAAAUCUUCUAUUCCUGGAAUUGGCGGGUAGGAGGGCGAAUUGAGUUGGCCAACGGCAGACACGAGGAAAUCGGAUGUGAGCGUAUAUUGAUCUGCAAAUUCCGCGUCUUUCGAUUCCCCUGCUACCUUGACCACUAUCCGCCAUUUACGGGCGUCAUCGUCCCAUCUAGCUUCUUCAACGGUGGAAUUGAAUCGAAUAUAACGAAACAGCUUGUACUUCUCGGCUACAUCAUGAAGGUACAUCUGUGAUAGCUUUGGUUAGAGCCAAUGAAAAAGAGGGAAAGGAAAAGGAAAAAGAAAAACGAAAAAAGUUGAAAGAAAGCGAAAAAAGCAAGCCUCGUACUAGAAUCUCCUCCUGACUGGGGUAGAGUCUUGACCAGCUCGGGUUCUGUUCGAAAGAGUAGCUAUAAAGAUGAGAAUUGACUGUUGGAUAUUAGCACGGAAUAUCCCCCAUCAAACGAGAGCCGGAGGGGGUGUCCCUCGGAAAGAAGAAGGACAUACUAUCGCAACAGCAGCCUGGAUAUUUGUUAUCACGCCAAGUUCCACCAAGUCCUCCGCUCUUUUCAACAAUUACGAAGUUGUGGAUGUCGUUCUUCAACAAACUGAUGGCCGUGCACAUUCCUAUGCAACCCUGUUGCGUUAGCAAUCGAUUACCCCAUAUACGCGGACAGGGGUACCUUACCAGACAUCCCAGCGCCAAUGAUCACCACAGCGGCCUCCGUAUAGUUCCUGUUGCCCACCUCCACUUGGCGAUAGCGUUUGUUCGAUGCCAUGGCUAUUUUACGCCAAUACACACGGAAGGAAGGAUGGUAGAGUGAAAGGGACAAAGGGGAAGGGGCUUCAAAUAUCCCCGUCGCAAGCGGGUAUAUUUUUUUUGGAAAAUAUUUCAACACGGAGGAGAAAAGAGGUUUCAACAGCGAAAAUCAAGAACUUGAGUUGAGAAUAUGUCGAAGGUAAGAUAGCAAGUUAUCAAGUUAUAAGGAAGCAAAGCCAAGAACGAAGCCCCGUUAUUUCACGGGUGUAAUCGAAACGAGUCCAUCGCCUCAAACUCUUAGUAGAAGUCCUCUCCAAGAUUAGUCUAAUCGUGUACAGUGAGGAACCUUCUAUUCCAACGAGGGAGAGGAAGGGGGGAAAUUACCAGCAUCCGAGGAUGCUGGUGAGCUGCUGGCUCAUUAUGCUAUUUCUAGCCCGAGCCAAGGUUGAAAUGGCUGCGGGGAGCUCACAUUGAUCUCAGCAUAUCUGACAACUGUAAGCAUACCUGGCAGGAUGCCAUUUGGCUGGCCUCCUGGGCUUAAGCGUCAGUGAUUCAAUCAUCACGAUCAACAAACUCGCAAACGCCCUGUGCGCGCGGUUCAUAAGUCCCUGCUCCAUGCCCGUAAGAACAUACGCCAGGCAGCGAUCCCGAUGGGAACCGGGUUGAUAUGUAUGGCAGGGCAGAGCAUGGCAGAGCACGGCAGACAUCUCCAUGCUCUGCUCGACCCACCAAUGGUGGAAUCCGGGGCCGGAUAUCGUGAUAAUAGAGUUUCGUAUCCGAUCGAGCGGGGAGCGAGCCCGAGCCGAGGCAGCAAUUCCCACCGAUUAUAAUAAGCCGCGCAAUCCAACGCGGAGGAACAGGCAAGGAGGAUGAAUUCACAAAUCUGGACAAAGCCACAACAUCUUUCAUGGGCGAACUUGGAUACUUGUGCCACCGUACUGCUUUGAGUAUGGGAAGUUAUUUAUUGUGUUUGUCCUGAUUGUCCUUAGAUAAUCAGAUGCAUUUGUAGCACUCUACUCUUCAGAACAUCGACCCGCGCACUUCGCCUUGAGGCCUCGAGCUACCUAAGUACUUGUAACUUCAUCGGGAUGGGAGGGAGAGGCUAAGUGAAAGGUGCUUGGGGCCGGAGGAAAAAAAAGAAAAAAUCAGAAGAAAAGCAAAAAGAAGAAACGCUGAAAACGUAAGUGCUACAUACUGUAAAUACAUACAUAUAUCAUCCAUCCAAAUUCCCCAACCCGAUACGGCAGCCCCGCCAGGAGUAAGGUUGGGAGAAGGUUUGAUAGAUGUUUAUCGGGAGGGCCAUAGUUUGGAGAUAAUCAUGGUGGAGUAAUAAUGAGUAUAUGAGCUCAGCACAGAUACUUCGCGGCACUGGGAAACAAUACCAGAUCAGGACAAAGGGGGUUGUAGUUAAAAAAAAAAAAGAAACUGAAACGGAAAGAAAAGCUCUCAACAAAAAUAACAGGGAAAAGGCGAAAGCAAGAACAAAGGGGGAAAGGAUAUAUAUAAAAUAGUGGAUAAAAGCCCCUAACAACGCUAUGCUAAUGCUAAAAACUGAUGUGAGAAGAAUAAUUGUGAAGGAGUAGAAUUACUUCUCUUGGUACUUUUUGGGGUCUCCUUUGUUUUAAAAGAACAUUAAGAAAUUAAGAAAUUAAGAAAUGAAAUUGGUUUCUUUUUAAGGGCAGCGGAAAUAACCUUAACAUAAGUGCAUUUCGAAGGGGGUAGUCGUACAGUCAGGUCAGUGAUUCAUGAAAAUCCAGACAGUUCAGAGUAUUCGAUUCAAAUCGCUCGAAAAAAAAACCAUUGAGUUUUCUCGUUCGCGCGGUUCUCGCUAUUUGGGUUUUCGCCAGUAAUAUCGCUUGUGUUGUUUUCUGCAACUCCGCAGGCCAGGUUUCAUCAAGUCGUUAACUACAGCCUCCUUUCUCUUUUCAUCCUCGUCG